GAAGGAAGAGGAAGGAAGGGAGGGAGGAAGGAAGGAGGGAAGAAAGGGGAAGUAAAGGAAAGAAAAGAAAGAAGGAAGGAAGCAAGGAAGGAAAGAAAAAAAAGAACUGGGGGAAAAAAAAGCCUUGAACUGGUCCCAAAGAAGAGAUUUGAGAUCAGACUACCACUUAGACCUCUCCUUUCUAUGGAUGCCACUCCGAUGGACAAUUGAUCACAAAGGAUACCUCUUUCAAUAGGGAUAAACUGCCUCUCUCUUAAUGUUCCUCUCAGCGAGAAACUCAGCUCUCCCCUUGCACAAAGAACCUCCUCCAGGGGUCGGCUGCUCAGAAACCAGCCCCAACAGCUUGUGUCUAGAAUAGCAGGAUUUCCUAACGCUGUGGAACACUCAGAAUCAGAAGCCCUGAGGUCAGACCUCACUCCUUCCACUCACUCCCUGUAUGUCCUGCGACAAGUUCCUUCCCCUCUUUUUUGGCCUCCGUCCCCUUCUCUGUACAAUGAGGGGAUUGCAUGAGAUGACCUUCAAGGUUCCUUCCCAAUCUUCUGUGAUUCUGCAGGCCCUUGGCCACCGUCCCAGGAAUGCAGGUGACAGCACAAGACCCCGUGCCAUUGGAUGUUCGUGCCUACCUGUCCUACAGUUCAGAAAAACUUCCAUUUUUCCAGCCAAGGACAAUUCCUCUGAAGGGCUGUCAUGUGGAGGAAGGGGUCAACUUGUUUGACUCCAGGGGUCUGAACUAGGACAAAGAAGUGACAGAUGCCCGUGGGAAAGUGAAUCUCAACUCAACUGCAAAAGAGAACUUUCUAACAAGAGCUGUCCACUGGCAGAGUCUUCUUCCCCAGGUCACUGAAGGAAAUUAGCAAAGGCUGCUGGGUAAGACUAGAUGAAUUCUGGAGAUCUUUCCCCAAAACCUGUGGCUCUAAGAAGCUUAGAAAAACUUAAGGGGAGACAGACAAGACAGGCAAUCAACAGGUAAUAAUACCCUUUAAGCAAUGGAUGUGUGGGAUACUUUGGACUCUCUUGAGCAUCUCCCUUGGUCUAAGCUCUUAUUGUCAUUACACUCUAUUCCAGGCCAUCUACCUUUGCUACAAAGGAUGGCAAUGUUAACUAAGGAAGUUUUUCUAAACUGACUAUGGCUAAGGAGUUCUCUCCAGGAACAAGGAAGACUGAGACUUGCAGAGAUUUCAAGUCUAGAUAAUAAUGAUGAGCUCCAAGCACAUAUGAAUCUUUAUCUUGUCUUUUUCUAGCAUCCCACUUGCUCUAUACUCAUUGGAAAGGAUGCGGGGUCCAGAAGAACCCAGAUAGUUUGCUGACCACUUUUCUUCAUCAGGAGAAAAGUAGGAGGCCUGGGAAGGCCUUGGAAUUGUUGAAAGGAUCAUGGACUGAUUGGGGCCCAAACUCAGAAUUUUCUCUAACUACAGCUGUUCUUCAAGCUCUAGGAAUCUUAGCUGAGGACUCUGGAUCAAUCUAGCACCCUCACACAAGGAGCCAUAUCCCUGGGCUGCUGUAGCUUCAUCCAAUAGCUCCUCACCUUCCCCACCCCCCAAGGACAGAAUACCUUUUGGAAAAAAAAAAAGGUAGGGGAUGUAGGGCUGUACUACAAAUUCUCUGACUCCUAUUGUUUGACAAAGCUAACCCUUGGAAAAAUGAAAACAAAAUUAUUAAGACAUGCCCUUCUACCCACAUUCCUAGCCCUGCCAAACUCCCAAAAUGGACAAAUGGUCUUUCCCUUUGCAUCCCGUUCAAACAUGUUGCCCUGAAUCCCAAACCCCCAGAGUUGUCAUUCAAUGUCAAGGUUGUCAGCAACUUUGGAAAACACCCAUGGUCGGUCCCAGCAAACUAACGUUGUGCAGUGGAACUGAGAGGCACAUGAUCUGGGGAAUAGUCCUGCCUCUGCUACUGACUUGUUGGAUGGACUUGAAUGAGUCACUUCAUCCUUGUAAAAUGUGGAGAUCGGCGUUCACGUCCUUUAAGGAUUCUUUGUGACUUCAUGUGAGCUCUGGGAUUUAGUAGGCUGGAAAGAGAAAGUACUGGGCUGAGUUAAAUCUCACAGUUUUCAACAUGUUUUUGAUACUAUGAAUUGCAGCCGCAUGGUAUAGUUGGAAAACCUUGGACUGGAACCUAGUAGACCAAGGUUUAGACUGUUCUAGCACUAAUAAGUUGUGUGACUUUGUUACUUUCCCCUCUGGGUCUCAGUCUCCUCAUCUAUAAAAUAAAGAGACCAGAGCAGAUAAUUGCUAAGGGCCCUCAUAGUUCUGACAAUCUAUAUUCUGAGGUCCCUUUCAGGCUUGACAUUCCAUAUUUUAUAUCCUAGUAUUAUUCCUUUCAGCUCUGACAAUCUGUUCUAAGGGCCUUCCUCCUAGCUCUGACCUUCUGUGUUUUAAAGAUCUCUCAACUCUGACAUUUCAUGUUCUAAGGGCCCCCCCAAGUCUGACCUGUGUUAUAAUAAGGGCCCCUAGCUCUGACAUUGUAUUCUAAGAGCCCCCAGUUCUGACACUUCACGUUCUAAGGGCCCCCCAGUUCUGACAUUCUGUGUUCUAAAGGCAGUUCUGACAUUCUGUAUUUAAGGGUCCCCAGAUUUCAUGUUCUAAGGGCCCUCCCAGCUCUGACAUUCUGUGUUCUAAGGACUCCCAGUUCUGACAUUUUAUGUUCUAAGACCCCCCAGUUCUGAUAUUCUGUGUUCUAAGGGCAGUUCUGACAUUCUGUAUUUACGGGCCCCCAGAUUUCAUGUUCUAAGGGCCCUCCCAGUUCUCACAUUCUGUGUUCUAAGGGCCCCCAGUUCUGACAUUUCAUGUUCUAAGGGCCCCCCAGUUCUGACAUUCUGUAUUCUAAAGGCAGUUCUGACAUUCUGUAUUUAAGGGUCCCCAGAUUUCAUGUUCUAAGGGCCCUCCCAGCUCUGACAUUCUAUCUUUUAAGGGCCCCCAGUUCUGACAUUUCAUGUUCUAAGGGCCCCCAGUUCUUACCUGUGUUAUGUAAGGGCCCCCAAUUCUGACAUUUCAUGUUCUAAGGCCCCCCACUUCUGACAUUCUGUAUUUAAGGGCCCCCAGAUUUCAUGUUCUAAGGGCCCUCCCAGUUCUCACAUUCUGUGUUCUAAGGGCCCCCUGUUCUGACAUUUCAUGUUCUAAGGCCCCCCACUUCUGACAGUCUGUAUUUAAGGGCCCCCAGAUUUCAUGUUCUAAGGGUCCUCCCAGUUCUCACAUUCUGUGUUCUAAGGGCCCCCUGUUCUGAUAUUUCAUGUUCUAAGGGCCCCCGGUUCUGAUAUUCUGUAUUCUAAAGGCAGUUCUGACAUUCUGUAUUUAAAGGCCCCCAGAUUUCAUGUUCUAAGGGUCCUCCCAGCUCUGACAUUUUAUCUUCUAAGGGCCCCCAGUUCUGACAUUUCAUGUUCUAAGGGCCCCCAGUUCUUACCUGUGUUAUGUAAGGGCCCCCAGCUCUGACAUUUCAUGUUCUAAGGCCCCCCACUUCUGACAUUCUGUAUUUAAGGGCCCCCAGAUUUCACAUUCUAAGGGCCCUCCCAGUUCUCACAUUCUGUGUUCUAAGGGCAGUUCUGAUAUUCUGUAUCUAAGGGCCUCCAGAUUUCAUGUUCUAAGAGUAGUUCUGACAUUCUGUAUUUAACGGCCCCCAGAUUUCAUGUUCUAAGACCCCCAGUUCUGACAUUCUGUGUUCUAAGGGCCCCUAGUUCUGACGUCCAGUAGAUCUGAUACUCAUUCACCAGCCUUGUCUCUCACUUUCACUAAAAUCCAGUCCUUAAGAAACCACAAUUCUCUCUAAGGGAAUAAAUCCCCAAAUAACUAUCCAAUUAAACAAAAUGAUAGAUUUGGGCCUAACCAAGACACUUUUUUAUGCCGGCGCGCUCCACUCAAAGUGGAAUGCAACCUAAGUUAGCAAUCAUCAUUUCCUAAUCUUCUCUAAGCAAGUGAACCUUCAUGGGUUCCAAAAACGAGAUAGGCAACAAUAUUCAUUAAGGUUCUCGCACUCACGUGCCUAAAAAAACGACAAGGCAGCGUCAGGUAACUGUCCAACUUGUGACCACAAGCCAUCAUACCCUAAGAAGAGAUGAAAUGAUUACAGCUCGAGGGAGCGUGGUGUGUGGGAGAUAGGGUACCAGACUUGCUGUCCAGGAAAUAGAAUUCAAAUUCCUCCUCAGACCUUACUAGCUAUGUAUCCUAGAAAUUACCCUAUGCCUCAGUUUCCCCAUCUGUAAAAUGACUUGGUUCAAUAGUUUUUAAGGUCCUCCCCAUCUCUAACUCUAUGAUUCUAUGUCCCAUGGUCUGUUAACAAAAUGGAAUCAAAGUAUAGCAGGGCUGGUGUAAAUGAAAAUAUCUACAUCUAACUACUUUAACCAACUUCCUGGAAAUGUAAACUGAUGGAUUCUGAAGGAUUUCAGAAACAAAAGCCGCCUUACCUUGCCAUGGCUGCCAGGGUUCUUGGGCUCUCAGAGGCUGGGCCUCUGCCCCAAGCCUGGUGAGUGCCGUCACGCCAGAAAAAGCCUGGACGGCCCAUUGCUCAGCCUCACAGAAUUGUCGAGAAGAAAAUGUUUGGGGAACUUUAAGGGGCUAUGGAAUCAUGAUCCCAGAUGGAGAAGAAGGAAUAUUUUGCAGGCUCUUUCCUAAGGAAGCGAACUUGGGCUCAGAGAUACCAUCAAAACACUGUCUAAAACCAACGAUUUGAGGUUUAUGGCCACAGAAAUCACUAGAGACUACCUGCUAUGGUAAAGAGGAGUUGAAUUUGCCUCCAUAUAGAAAGUACCCACCCUAAUGAAAUCACAAAUCUCUGCAAUAUUCUGGCCUGAGGAUAAAACUUGUCAGGUUCUAGGGGCCAUCCACGCUUUAAAGGCUCUUAUAGGGACUUAGAACUGGACCUAUAGUUAGAACAUGGCCACAGAACAUCCAGACCAAAAGGACCUCCAAGGCUUCUAGUCUAACCCCCCUUUUACAGUUGGGGAAACUGAUGCUCAGAGAUGGGGAGUGAGCUGCCUAACAUCACACAGGUACAGGUAUACAGGCCAGCCCUCCACAUCUGAAGCUCUUUUCACUGGACCACACUGCUGUUCAGUGGCUAAAGGAAUAGGACUUAGAGCAUCUGUAUAUUGUAAUUAAUGCUAAUUUUGUGCAAAUGAUCUAGUACUGUUUGAUAGGAUCAACUAGACUAGUUCUAUGACUUUAAACAUUUUAGCUUCUUUCCCAGAUUUGACAUCAUCCCACAUUUGAUAUUUGACAUUCUGUGUUCUAAGAUCCCUUCUAGCCCUCACAUUUUCUAUUCUAAGGACUCUCUUACAUUCUAUACUUGUUCUAUGGUCUUCCCCACCUCUAGCAUUCCCCAUUCUAAAAUCUUUUACAGCUAUGACAGCCUACAUUCUAGGUUCUAAGAUCUUUUCAAGCUCUGACAUCCUGUUUUAACAUUUUGUAUUCUAAGAUUCUUCCCAGCUCUGACAUUCUGUGUUCUAAGAGCCCUCUCAGCCCUGACAUUCUCUGUUCUGUCUUCCCAGCUCUGAUAUUCUUGUUCUAAGUCCUCCCAGCCCUGACAUUCUCUGUUUUAAGUGUCCUCCCAGCUCUGACAUCCCCUGUUCUAAGGGCUCUCUCAGCCCUGACAUCCCCUGUUCUAGGGCCCUCCCAGCUCUGACAUCCCCUGUUCUAGGGCCCUCCCAGCUCUGACAUCCCCUGUUCUAAGGGCUCUCUCAGCCCUGACAUCCCCAGUUCUAAGGGCCCUCCCAGCUCUGACCUCCCGGGUUCUAAGGGCCCUCCCAGCUCUGACCUCCCGGGUUCUAAGGGCUCUCCCAGCUCUGACAUCCCCUGUUCUAAGGGCCCUCCCAGCCCUGACCUCCUGAGUUCUAAGGGCCCUCCCAUCUCUCACAUUCUCUGUUCUAAGGCUUUCUACAACUAUGACUUUCUACAUUCUAGGUCCUAAAAUUCUUUCUAGCUUUCCCUGUUCCAACACCUUGUAUUCUAAGGUAGCUUCCAAUUCUGACACUCUGUGUUCUAACAGCCCUCCCAACUCUGACAAGCUGUUUUCCUGUUGCUGGCAGACAAUGGUUUCCAUAGUUGGGUAGAUAUUUCUCCUUCUUAAAGGGAAAUACUUUUGAGGAAGGCUUUCACAGUACCAUGGACAUUCAGAAUUAUUCCCCAUAAACACAAAGCCCACCCACCUCAGCUGGCUCUGGAUUGGGAGAUAACCAGUUACAUCCACCACCCUACCCCAACGUGCUGUCCCCUCCUGUUGAUAGGUCACUGCAUGGAAUUUAAAUGUCAGUUGUAUAAUGUAUAUACUGUAUAUUGGAAAGUCUAAUGUGUAAGGGAAGGCUGAAGCCUAUAAUUUUUUUUAAAUGUGUCCUUACGUAACAGUAUCCAUUUUUUAUAUCACUUCGAUGUUUACAAGCACUUUUUGCCUCCUCAGACCUAUGAGGUAAGGGUUGCCAGGAUCGUUAGUCCCCAUGUAGUGAGGGUCAGAGUUACUGUGAUUUUCCAGGCGCUCACAAAUGGUAAGUGGUCUAGCUAAGUUUCCAAUCCAAGUUUUGUGAAAUCUGGCCCUCCACUAGAUGUAGCAAGAUCAGAAUUAACCCCCCUCUGUGAUCCUGGGCAAUUCACUUCCUUUCUCUGAUCUCAGUUUUUUCCUCUGUAUAAUGGGGAAGUUGGACUAAUUGACCUCCAAGGUCCCUCCUUACAUGAGCCUAUGGUUCUCUCCACAAUAGCUCACAAUUAGAGCCCUUAAGGUUUACAAAGCAUUUAUUUUCUUCACACACACACACAAAAAAAAAUGUGAUUUUGGUCAUAUAAGUCCCAUCCCAUUUGAUAAAUAAGGAUACAGAGUCCUAGAGAGGUAAAUGACAUUUUAAAGUGAUCUGAGAGUUUUUAUAUAACCAUGAUUUAUUUGAGAUAGUCCAGAAUUCCAUAAUUUGACUAGAGGUUGUGGGAGAGACCAGAGUUGCCUUUCAUGAUCUCAAGCAAGUGGUAAAACUUAAAUAUCCUUAAACUUCUCCUUAACAAACAAGAGAUGAGCAAAUAAUAUUAGCUGAGAUUUCUUUAAUACUCUCUGGUCUAAAAGCACUUUCCUCACCAUUGUCUGUUUUACAUAUGAGGAAACUGAGGUCGCCAUAGCUGCCCGGUUAGAAAGGGUACUUAAGAAAUUCCACAUUUGGUCAGAUCAGUGACCCAUUCAUUGAGGUAUUUAGGGGCUAUUCUGUUUUUAGGUUAAAAAAAAGAAAGGCACAGAAUGACCCAAAAUGAUUGGUUGGUUGGUUAUUGUCCCUAGUUCUUGAAAAGGGCCAAAAUAACAAUCUAUGUUAGAGUCAAGUUGCAGUGUGUCCAACUGUGGCCAGUCAAAUUUGUGCAGAAAUUUGGGUACAAAUAACCCAUGUGAACAUUUAUGGAGGAUUCUCUAACAUUUGCACAUCUCACAUCUUACCCAAGGUGAUAGGCUUGGGAUCACGGGGUCAAAAGAGUAGAAAGAAACUUAGAAGUCAUUUAGUCCAACCUCCCUCAUUUUACAGAUGAGAAAACUUGUCCAGAUAGAAGUUUGGCAAGUAGGAGUGAGAAUGAGGAAAAUUAAAAAGGAGUAAAAUGUCUUUAUUCCCUUUCCCCCAGCUUCCCUCUCCUUGACCCAGUUCUCCACUUCCUUGACCUCUUGUACAUUCUUCUUAUGCCUCCUUCUGUACAAAUUAAGAAAAUCUUAAUAAAUAUUUGCUGAACAUUCUAA